ensembl:lncRNA
UUUUUUCUUGGUCUACGACUCUUCGUUUCGCCUGUCAGUCACAUGGAAAACAAGGACAAGCUGAUUCGAGACUUCAGUGGCCUCCCUAAUUCCUAAGACACAAUAUUGAAAUUAGGCCAAUAAAUAAUCUUGCAUUGGCCCCUAAGAGUUCAGGUGAAGGGAAGUGUCACAUGUCUCUCCCUUUAAAUCAAAAGCUAGAGAUGAUUAUGCUUAGUGAGAAAGGGAUGUCAAAAGCUGAGAUAAGCUAAAAGCCAGGCCUCUUGAACCAAAAAUUUAGCCAAGUUGUGAAUGCAAAGGAAAAGUUCUUGAAGGAAACUAAAAGUGCUAUUUCAGCGAACACAUGAAUGAUGAGAGAGUGAAACAGCUUUAUGCUGAUAUGGAGAAUGUUCUAAUGGUCUGGAUAGAAGAUCAAACAAGCCACAACUUUGAAGCCAAAGUCGAAUCCAGAGCAAGGUCCUAACUCUCUUAAAUUCUAUAAAGACAGAGAAAGAUGAGGAAGCUGCAGAAGAAAAGUUUCAAGUUAGCAGAGGUUGGUUUACAAAGUUGGAGGAAAGAAGCUGUCUCCGUAACAUAAAAGUACAAGGUGAAGGCACAAGUGGUGAUGUAGAAGUUGCAGCAGGUUAUCCAGCAGAUCUAACUAUGAUAAUGAAUGAAGGUAGCAACACUAAGCAGUAGAUUUUUAACGUGGACAAAAUAGCCUUAUAUUGGAAGAAGAUGCCAUCUAGGACUUGCAUAGCUGGAGAGGAGAAAAUGCCUGGCUUCAAAUCUUCAAAAGACAGGUGGACUCUCAUUAGGGGCUGAUGCAGCUGAUGACUUGAAGUCAAUGCUCAUUUACCAUUCCCAAAAUUCUAGGGCCCUGAAAAAUUAUGCUCAGUCUACUCUGCCUGUCCUCUAUAAAUGGAACAACAAAGUCUGAAUGACAGCAUAUCUAUUUACAACAUGGUUUACUGACUCUUUUAAGUCCAUUGUUGAGAACUGCUGCUCAGAGGAAAAGAAAAAGGAUAUUUUCAAAGUGUUGCUGCUCAUUGACAAUGCAUGUAGUCAUUCAAAAGCUCUCAAUGAGAUUCAUAGCUGUAGCUGCUGGCCUAUCCCAGAGCCACAGCAACAUGGGAUCCAAGCCAUGUCUUUGACCUUCACCACAGCGCAUGGCAAUGCCGGAUCCUUAACUCACUGAGCGAGGCCAGGGAUCGAACCUGCAACCUUGUGGAUACUAGUGGGGCUCAUUAACCGCUGAGCCAUGAUGGGAACUCUCCGCAAUAAAGUAUGUUUUAAAUUAAGGUAUGUACAAUUUUUUUAGACAUAGUGCUACUGCACACUAAAUAGACUACAGUAUAAAUACAACUUUUAUAUACACUGGGAAACCAAAAAAUUUAUGUGACUCAUUCUAAUGCAGUGUUCCUUUAGUGCAGUUGUCUGGAACUGAACCCACAAUAUCUCCAAGGUUUGCCCAUAAAUGUUUCUUCCCCCUAAGAUAAAACCACCUAUUUCAUUGUUAUAAAAAUAAUUUGUGAUCACGUUGUUUUUUUAAGUAAGAACUAGGAAUUCUCUUGGGGUGCAGCAAAUUAAGGAUCCAGUAUUUUCACUGCAAUGGCUCGGGUUGCUGUUGUGGUGCAGUUUCGAUCUCUGGCCCAGGGAUUUCUGCAUGGCUGGGGCAUGACCAAAAAAAAAAAGUCUAAACAACAGGCAUGAAGAAGAAAGUGAAGGGUCUCAUCCCUGGCCCUACCCUAACCACACUCCCCAGAGAUUUGAAUUGAUUACAAUGCUUUGGCUUUAAAUAACAAGAAAGUGAGAAGUGAGGAAGGGAGGGAAGACAGAAAGAAAACAAAACCAAACCAUCCUCAAACAUGCUUAUUGAAUAGGGAUACUUAUUAACUCCCAUGACUGAAAGUCCAAAUGUAAGGCAAUCUUUAGGGUUGUUUGACUUAAGGUCUACAGGCAGGUCACUGAUACUCUCAUGGGCAAAAAAUGUUUUGUUACCUUCCUGCUUAUUAUGGGAAAUUGGGUAUUGAAGUGAUGACAGGAGCUGAACUAGGAGGGAAAUCUGAAAGAUUUUUCCAUGGAAAUUAGCCUUAAAAAAUUAGGGCAAGCAGACUCUUGUUUGAGGUAGGUAAAAUGAGGCCUAUUAAGUUUCCAAAACUGACAUUAUCCACAAAAUGUCCAAGCCCCCACAAAACCCUGGUGGGCAAGCAGGGGAAUGGUGUUCAUCUUUAAGACACCUAUCUAGGAACUUCAUCUGGACUGAUGGCCCUCUGUGUGGCUCCUCUGCCUCGAUGAGCAGUGGGUCAAUCCAGAACCCUCUGUGGGGUCUCCGCAGGGAAUCUCAGUGGAGUUGGAGGCAAAAAUCUGAAGAGAUGCAGAGGAGGCAUGUCCUUUCGGAGAUGGCUGGGGCAUGGGGCUUUAUUGGGAGAAGCUGAGCUAACAUAGGUCCCAGGUUUUUUCAUUCAUGGGUCACUCUCUGAAUUUAUCUGGUUUCAUUCAGUUGAAGAAUGGGAACCUGACUUGAAAUAAUUUAGGUGGAAAUAGAGUGUAUCAGCUCAGGAUAAUAAUAGCUGCUCUAAUAAACAGAUACAAAUUUCUUCCUCAUGUAAAAAUCCAUUCAGUAGGUGAUUUUUCCUCCUAGUAGUGAUUCAGGGACCUGCACCCUUUCCUCUUACAGCUCUGUCAUCCUCUAGGCAGGGGUGCUUAUUCUGGGGUCCCAUGUACGCACAAAAGAUCUGUGGAUAUAGGCCAGGGAGGAGCGCUGUGAACCCAGACAGUCAAGUUUAGCUUUUCCUUCUAUUUUGAAUCUAGAUGAAAAAUCCCAGUAGAAUGAAUGAUACCUCUGACUAUCACCAGUGGAAACCUCAUAUUUUCAUAUCCUACCACAAUUGUAGGAGAGAGGUAUUUUUCCCUCAAUUUCAUUUUUUCUUUUUUAAAUUGAGGUGCAUUUACAUAACUUAAAAUCAACUAUUUUAAGUACAUACUUCAGUUAUAUUUACUACAUUCACAAGGUUAUGCAACCACUACCUCUCUCUAUUUCUAAAACAAUUUCAUCAUCCUAAAAGGAAAUGUUGGGAAUAUCUAGAAAUAUCAUUUUCACUCAUUUACUACUUUGAAAAUAUAGUAGGUAUUAAUUAGACCCACCAGUAGAAUUUGUUACGUAACGUGCUAUAAAUGCACAAAUAUUAUUAGGUCAUAAUACUUUAUUUUGGUAACUCCAUUUCAGUGUAACUGGUUUCCUUUAUAAUCUUAUGUAUUUUAUUUUAUGCUUUUAAAAAACAUUAGUCGCAGCAAGAGGAUCUGUCAAGAGGG